rnacentral:rRNA from 1 species
GAUGAACGCUAGCGGCAGGCUUAAUACAUGCAAGUCGAGGGGCAACAGGGGUAGCAAUACCUGCUGGCGACCGGCAAACGGGUGCGCAACACGUACAGAACCUUCCUUUAAGCGGGGGAUAGCCCAUAGAAAUGUGGAUUAAUACCCCAUGGUAUUGUGGUAUGGCAUCAUACCAUAAUUAAAGAUUUAUCACUUAAAGAUGGCUGUGCGUCUGAUUAGGUAGUGGUAGGGGUAACGGCCCACCAAGCCAACGAUCAGUAACUGGUGUGAGAGCACGACCAGUCACACGGGCACUGAGACACGGGCCCGACUCCUACGGGAGGCAGCAGUAAGGAAUAUUGGUCAAUGGACGGAAGUCUGAACCAGCCAUGCCGCGUGAAGGAUGAAGGCCCUCUGGGUUGUAAACUUCUUUUAUCUGGGAAGAAAUGCCUGAUUUUGAUUGGGUUUGACGGUACCAGAGGAAUAAGCACCGGCUAACUCCGUGCCAGCCGCCG